rnacentral:rRNA from 1 species
CUAAAUUCUCAACGGUGGAUGUCUUGGUUCCCACAACGAUGAAGAACGCAGCGAAGUGCGAUAAGCAGUGCGAAUUGCAGAACCGUGAGUCAUCAGAUUUUUGAACGCAACUUGCGCAUUUUACUUUUAGUAUAUGCACGCCUGGUCCAGUG